rnacentral:rRNA from 1 species
UACGUAGGUGGCAAGCGUUGUCCGGAUUUAUUGGGUUUAAAGGGUGCGUAGGCGGCUUUGUAAGUCAGUGGUGAAAUAUGGCAGCUUAACUGUCAGGGUGCCAUUGAUACUGCAGAGCUUGAGUACAGAUGAGGUGGGCGGAAUUGACGGUGUAGCGGUGAAAUGCUUAGAUAUCGUCAAGAACACCUAUAGCGAAGGCAGCUUACUAGGCUGUAACUGACGCUGAGGCACGAAAGUGUGGGGAUCAAACAGG